rnacentral:rRNA from 1 species
UACGUAGGGUGCAAGCGUUGUCCGGAAUUAUUGGGCGUAAAGAGCUCGUAGGCGGUCUGUUGCGUCGGCUGUGAAAACCCGGGGCUCAACUCCGGGCCUGCAGCCGAUACGGGCAGACUAGAGUUCGGCAGGGGAGACUGGAAUUCCUGGUGUAGCGGUGAAAUGCGCAGAUAUCAGGAGGAACACCAGUGGCGAAGGCGACUACCUGGCCUGUUCUCGACGCUGAGGCGCGAAAGCUAGGGGAGCAAACGGG